GCCCCUAAUGGUUCUUUUGACACCAUUAAUAAAAACCAUAUUUAUUUAAAUCAAAAAUUUAUUAUGAUUCUGAAAUUACAUUUUUAUCCCUACUAAGAUUAACGGAUCUUGCUGGGAAACCUGACCUAUUCAUCAUCUGAUCAUGAUUUCCUUCUUCCCCUGUAAGGCGAUACUCUAUUUCCAUGAUCCCUCAAAUACCAAUUUUUUCCUAAUCUUCAUCAAUUCAAUUCUCCACCACCGACAGUCCGUCUCCAUCUCUUCCCUUCACCGACCCUCUUCUUAUUGCUCAUCAUUCGAGUCCCUCUCAUUAUUGAUCCCUUCUCA
rnacentral:lncRNA from 1 species